AUGAGAGCGAAGGACAUGUUCUUUCGUAGGGUCAAAUUCUUGGUUGGCAACGGGAUGUCAACAAGAUUUUGGGAGGAUACGUGGCUAGGAGAGACGCCUCUGGCCUUACAAUAUCCUACCCUCUACAAUAUUGUGCAACGUAAGGAGGAUUACGUAGGUAUCGUCCUUCAAACUAUCCCCUUGAACAUCCAGUUCAGACGUACGUUAGUGGGUGAGAGCUGGGAUUGA
rnacentral:rRNA from 1 species